UUAAUCCUUGAUAUCAUUAACCAUUCUGUGCUAAUUUGCAGUGAGACCCACAGUAAUUGAAACUGAUGUUUAUGUAAACAGCAUUGGACCUGUUGAUCCCAUAAACAUGGAGUACACGAUAGACAUCAUUUUUGCCCAGACCUGGUUUGAUAGCCGUUUAAAGUUCAACAGCACCAUGAAAGUCCUUAUGCUUAACAGCAACAUGGUGGGAAAAAUUUGGAUCCCUGACACGUUCUUCAGGAACUCAAGGAAAUCUGAUGCGCACUGGAUAACAACGCCCAAUCGCCUGCUGCGGAUAUGGAGUGAUGGAAGGGUUCUCUACACUCUGAGAUUAACAAUUAAUGCAGAAUGCUACCUUCAACUCCAUAACUUUCCUAUGGAUGAACAUUCC
rnacentral:lncRNA from 1 species